CCUUCUCUGUGUUGAGCAGCCUGAAGAGCCUGCACUUGGCACACAGCCCUGGAAGGGUGUGGACAACUGCAGAGAGGUGGCAGUCCUAGCUGGACCCUUGACACAAAUGGAGGUAGAAAUCUCUGUGCCCUGUGUAUCGGGCUGUAGCGCAGCGGGCUAAGCGCAGGUGGCGCAAAGCACAAGGACCGGCAUAAGGAUCCCAGUUCGAACCCCGGCUCCCCACCUGCAGGGGAGUCGCUUCACAGGCGGUGAAGCAGGUCUGCAGGUGUCUAUCUUUCUCUCCUCCUCUCUGUCUUCCCCUCCUCUCUCCAUUUCUCUCUGUCCUAUCCAACAACGACGACAACAACAAUAAUAACUACAACAAUAAAACAACAAGGGCAACAAAAGGGAAUAAGUAAAUAAAAUAAAAUAUUAAAAAAAAAAA